UCUCUGUAUAUUUUAUUUUUCAUGUUACAUGUGUCUUUUUGGGUGUUUCCAGGGAAGUUUAACUGAGGAUGCAAAGACUGGAGCGGCAGGAUCCCACUGAGUGAGGUUCCUUACUGUACUAAAAGAACUGUGGAAAAUAUGAUUGAAACUUUAAUGGAGGUUACAUUGAAUCUGUUGACCAUAAUCAAUAGUAUGACCACUUUUAAAUGUUAAUUCUACCCACCAAUGAACACUGGUCUUUUUUAUUUCUAGUGCCUGCUUCAACUUCUUCAAUGUUCAACAAAGCAAUUUUGAACAAAAACAAAAGCGCAACGUUCAGUGAUAUAACAAUUAAAUUCAAAUAACAGAAACCAGAGCUUGUUAUGUUUUGAAGCAUUUUCGUCUCAAGGAGAUAACACUGCUUUGGGAUUUUCAACUAUCAUCAGAGAAGCAAUUAACACAGAGAACUGCAACUGGUCAAAGUGCAGAGAAUAUGAGUCUCUAGAAUGCUUGGCCCUAAAUGAGACCUCUAUAUCUUGCCAGGCCCUCUCCAGACUCAGGGACCAUCAUGGAGAGCAGACAGCUGAAACUCAGAGCCAGAGGCAGUGAAUGAGUGCAUGGACAUGGUAUCUUCAGGACAAAAGAGGACAGAUACACAUAUGAGUUCAUGGAAGUUGUGACAAGAUAGGCAAGACAUAUGCAAGCUCAAGCCAGACAAAAUUUCAAUUUGUAAAAGGGAAGUGGGUGGGCAGGAAGUACCACCCCUAACUGAGGAGCUUUUGGAAAAUUGAUAACUGUUCAGAGAGAGAGAGUGGAUUUUCUUUAAGUGUUUGGCUCAUGGCAUGUGGACCAGGCUCCAGUGGAAUGACAUACAUACAAGUGCAUAUGGACAGCACAAAUUGGACUUCAUGGUUAAAAUAAAAAUAAAUAAAUAAAAAAACACAUGGAGAGGGUUAGAUAGGUAAAGGUUAGUGAAUUUGGGAGAACUUGGAUGAAAGGGGUCAACGUAAUAAAAAUUCGUUGUAUAAAAUUCUCAAAAAAACCUCUUCAGAAACAAAUUCCAGAAGUUACUUGCUCUGUGGUAUACAAUACACCAUUCUGAUGUUACCUAUUUGUGUUAUCCACUUCCAGACAACUGGCCUGUGUGCAUAAUCUUUUCCCCACAUGGAAUGAAAAAGUAAGAUUUGAUAAUGGAAUUUUCACAAGGGGAAAGUUAAUUGUCGUAUUAAAAACAAUGAAGUUCUGGCCCCACCAGACCUCUUUUAAUUUACAAUACAAGAAUGCAAAUUAAGCCAAGUUUAUAUUUUUUAAGAGAUACAGUGUAAUUUUUUUAAAUACUUGCUUGAAUCAGCUAACAGUAUUUUCAAUUAAGUCCGUCCAAGCUUGUGCCAAUGAAGGGAUCAAAUUCAUGUAGAGAUAGUAGCCAGGGUUCAUCAUUUUAAAAAUACUGUUAGCUGUUUCACACACAUAUCUGAAAAAACCAAUAAGCUACAUCUCUCAAAAUGUAAACUCAGCUUAAUUUAGACUGCUUUCUAUUUUAAUUCAAACUGUUUCUUGGCUCAAUUUUUCAAUAUUGGAAGAUAAGGCAAUGUAUGAAUUUAUAUUGUUCACCAAUUAAUAGUCACAGUAGGUAUAUCUCAGAAGCAAAAGUACUAUCCCUACCCAAGUGCAGUUUUGAGAGUGCUUUAUUCUGCAUUGUUAAUCAUAUGCAAAUAUGUAUUAGGACUGUUGAUACAUCCAUCUUUUUAAUGUCUUUAUAGCUUGUUAAAGUGAAGUUGAAGGAGCUCCUGGAGGAGUGAUACACUGCAUAUAAUGGACUUGGGAAUGAAAACUUUGGUUCUAUAUGCUUAAUUAGUUUCUAAUUUCUCAGUAAUCUCAUCAUGAGUCUCUAACAGAAAGUAAUAUUGACCAUCCAUAUGGUACAAGUGGGUGCUGGCAUUUUAGAUCAUUCUCUGGAGGGCUCAGUAAAUUAUUUACUAAGCCUAAUGUACUACUAAUUCAAAUUAAACUUCACCUCCAGUGUAAUUGUAAAUUUGGUGAGUAAAUAGCACCCUAUAAUCAUCAUAGGCUUAUUAUUAGAAUUAAGUGAAAUCAUGUGCCCAGCACAAUGUCUGUGAAUAAAAUAAAUGAACAACCCACUCUGCUCCAUUUAAGAAAUUAGUUCACAUUGUACUUCCUAUCAGGGAAGGAGAAGGCAUACCUUGUACCUGAGUAAUCAAAUGAAAAUCAGGUGAACACAAUGAUAGCAACAUGAAACAGUCAAUCUGUCAAUUUAAUUCUACAAAUUAAAGCUGUCCUGGAACUUAUCAAUUUGCUAAUAUGAGUGUCUUGACCUUGUGCCUGCAAUGUUGGUCUCUGGAGACACACAUCAAUCUUGAUCAGUUAUAUGCCAAAGUUAUUGCUAUUUUGUUGUCAAUAUUUGUUAUAUUAAAUGUCAAUUUUAUUGUCUUUUGUUUUUUUAACUUUAAAUGCAAAUACUGCCAAACCUCUGUGCUAAUAAAAACUUUCCUGCAAAUAAAGUUAGUUUCUUUGUUAA